CUGUGAAUCUCUGUCUCAGUUCUCAGCUCCCAGACAUCUAGUCUUAGAGAGCUGGACCUGAGUAACAACAACCUUCAAGAUUCAGGAGUGAAGCUUCUGUCUGAUGCACUGCAAAGUCCACACUGGAAACUGGAAACUCUGAGACUAAGUGGUUGUAACCUGUCAGGGAGAAGCUGUGAAGUGCUGUCCUCAGUUCUCAGCUCCCAGUCCUCUAGUCUGAGAGAGCUGGACCUGAGUAAUAAUGACCUACAUGAUUCAGGAGUGAAGCUUCUGUCUGCUGCACUGCAGAGUCCACACUGGAGACUGGAAACUCUGAGACUCAGUGGCUGUAACCUGUUAGAGAGACGCUGUCAAUCUCAGUCCUCAGUUCUCAGCUCCCAGUCCUCUAGUCUGAGAGAGCUGGACCUGAGUAAAAAUGACCUUGAGGAUUCAGGAGUGAAGCUUCUGUCUGCUGCACUGCCGAGUUUACAUUGUACACUGGAAACUCUGAGGUUAGGAUUCAAUCUGUCCUCCUCAGCAUUAUUUUUGAAUAAGUCUUACAUUACUAAAUAUAUGGCUAUUGUCAGGUGCUUUUUAUUUACCUUUGGGUUGAUUAUUUGAGUCUUAAUUACUCUCUGUAAAGAUUUUCACAACAGUACUAGGGCAACUAAAAUUUACUUUUGGUUGUUGAUAAUGUUUUUUCGACAACCAAAAGUAAGUAACCAAAAGAUAAGGAUUUUUCGUUGAUUAGUUGACAAUUAUUUCAAUAAGUCCUAUCUCAGCUUCCUAGUGGAGCCUCCUGUUCUAGGCUCCAGUAGGAAUAUCAGCUUGUUUUCUCGUCCCAGAGCAAAUUCAAAUAAUGACAGAAGAAACGCAUGAAUUUCAAAAUAAUUAAACAGAUUUUUAACAUUACUCAAUAGGACCUGUCAUGGAAGUUUUAAAACAACCUGCAAACACCCUUCGUGAGCCUUAUUUGAAGUGAGCUUAAUAAACACAUUGCAAUGUGCUAUGAUCUCUUCCUAUGGUCACCGCCCUCACAUCUUAUAUACACACACAGACAAAGACAUUCCACAACUCUUACAUGUUGGCCCAUGUCACAGGCCUAUACAUUCCCUUCAAGGAAGAAAAUUACGACUAUGUUUUUCACUGAGCUGUCACCUGGAGAUUUACAUCCCUGAUAAGCAGGAAGAGUCUCAUUAUCAUUUUAACGUCUCCCAUGAACUUAAGACAGCCCCACUGUGUGUGUGUGUAUAUAUGUGUGAUAAGGCCCAUUUGUGGUGCACAUGCUUGUUUGUUUUCCAUGUAAACCUUUCAGAAUAAAGCUCAAGAUCCUGUUGAGACUUUUCAAAAUAAACUGAAUCACUUGAAAGAGUAUGCAGAGUGUUUACGGGUGAGAAGCAAAAAAAGAGCCGUUAGGUGCUAAAAAAUAAACCUUAGACUCAAACUUUGAGAGAUAACAGCAGCCGUUACAACUUAUGUCUAAAAAUGUAUCGUUUCAUGCAUCGGUUAAAACACU